AGAGUUUGAUCAUGGCUCAGAACAAACGCUGGCGGCGUGCAUAACACAUGCAAGUCUAACGGGAAAGUCGGCUUCGGCUGGCAAGUACCGUGGCGAACGGGUGAGUAACACGUGGGUAAUCAAACCUCGAGUUUGGGAUAACCUUGCGAAAGCGGGGCUAAUACCGAAUAAGACCACGCCUUGUUUGCAAGGUGGGGUAAAAGGCGGCCUCUUCUUGAAAGCUGUCACUUGGGGAUGAGCCCGCGGCCUAUUAGCUAGUUGGUGGGGUAACGGCCCACCAAGGCGACGAUGGGUAGCCGGCCUGAGAGGGUGUACGGCCACACUUGCACUGAGAUACGGGCCAGACUCCUACGGGAGGCAGCAGUGAGGAAUAUUGCGCAAUGGGGGAAACCCUGACGCAGUGACGCCGCGUGAGCGAUGAAGGCUUUCGAGUCGUAAAGCUCUGUUAGGUGGAAAGAAACAUUCCAGUGCCAAUACCACUGGAAUUUGACGGUACCACCAGAGGAAGCACCGGCUAACUCCGUGCCAGCAGCCGCGGUAAUACGGAGGGUGCAAGCGUUGUUCGGAUUUACUGGGCGUAAAGGGCGUGUAGGCGGCUAAGCAAGUCAGGUGUGAAAUCCCUUGGCUCAACCAAGGAAGUGCAUUUGAAACUGCAUAGCUAGAGUACAGGAGGGGAAAGUGGAAUUCCCAGUGUAGAGGUGAAAUUCAUAGAUAUUGGGAGGAACACCAGUAGCGAAGGC
rnacentral:rRNA from 1 species